rnacentral:rRNA from 1 species
UGUUACCUACGGGGCGCAGCAGUGAGGAAUAUUGGUCAAUGGUCGGGAGACUGAACCAGCCAAGCCGCGUGAGGGAGGAAGGUACAGAGUAUCGUAAACCUCUUUUGUCAGGGAACAAAGGCGGGGACGUGUCCCCGGAUGAGUGUACCUGAAGAAAAAGCAUCGGCUAACUACGUGCCAGCAGCCGCGGUAAUACGUAGGGUGCAAGCGUUAUCCGGAUUUAUUGGGCGUAAAGGGCUCGUAGGCGGUUCGUCGCGUCCGGUGUGAAAGUCCAUCGCUUAACGGUGGAU